rnacentral:rRNA from 1 species
UAACUUAGUGGCGGACGGGUGAGUAACGCGUGAGAAUCUGCCUUCAGGACGGAGACAACAGUUGGAAACGACUGCUAAGCCCCGAUGAACCGAAAGGGAAAAUAUUUAUAGCCUGAAGAUGAGCUCGCGUUCGAUUAGCUAGUUGGCGGAGUAAAAGCCCACCAAGGCGACGAUCGGUAGCUGGUCUGAGAGGACGAUCAGCCACACUGGGACUGGGACACGGCCCAG